rfam:Ornithorhynchus anatinus chromosome 5, whole genome shotgun sequence.
UUGCUAUGGUGGCAUGUAUAGUAAAAUUCAGAACAAUGCAGAGAACAUUAGCAUGGCCUCUUUUUAAGGAUGACAUGCAAAUUCGUGAAGCACUUCAUAUUUCC